rnacentral:rRNA from 1 species
ACGGGUGAGUAACGCGUGGGAACCUACCUUGUGGUACGGAACAACCAAGGGAAACUUUGGCUAAUACCGUAUGAGCCCGAGAGGGGAAAGAUUUAUCGCCAUAAGAUGGGCCCGCGUCGGAUUAGCUAGUUGGUGAGGUAAUGGCUCACCAAGGCGACGAUCCGUAGCUGGUCUGAGAGGAUGACCAGCCACACUGGGACUGAGACACGGCCCAGACUCCUACGGGAGGCAGCAGUGGGGAAUAUUGGACAAUGGGCGGAAGCCUGAUCCAGCCAUGCCGCGUGUGUGAUGAAGGCCUUAGGGUUGUAAAGCACUUUCGCCGAUGAAGAUAAUGACGGUAGUCGGAGAAGAAGCCCCGGCUAACUUCGUGCCAGCAGCCGCGGUAAUACGAAGGGGGCAAGCGUUGUUCGGAUUUACUGGGCGUAAAGCGUACGUAGGCGGAUGAUUAAGUCAGGGGUGAAAUCCCGAGGCUCAACCUCGGAACUGCCUUUGAUACUGGUCAUCUUGAGUCCGGGAGAGGUGAGUGGAACUCCUAGUGUAGAGGUGAAAUUCGUAGA